rnacentral:rRNA from 1 species
GAUGAACGCUGGCGACGUGCCUAAUACAUGCAAGUCGAGCGAACGGACGAGAAGCUUGCUUCUCUGAUGUUAGCGGCGGACGGGUGAGUAACACGUGGAUAACCUACCUAUAAGACUGGGAUAACUUCGGGAAACCGGAGCUAAUACCGGAUAAUAUUUUGAACCGCAUGGUUCAAAAGUGAAAGACGGUCUUGCUGUCACUUAUAGAUGGAUCCGCGCUGCAUUAGCUAGUUGGUAAGGUAACGGCUUACCAAGGCAACGAUGCAUAGCCGACCUAAGAGGGUGAUCGGCCACACUGGAACUGAGACACGGUCCAGACUCCUACGGGAGGCAGCAGUAGGGAAUCUUCCGCAAUGGGCGAAAGCCUGACGGAGCAACGCCGCGUGAGUGAUGAAGGUCUUCGGAUCGUAAAACUCUGUUAUUAGGGAAGAACAUAUGUGUAAGUAACUGUGCACAUCUUGACGGUACCUAAUCAGAAAGCCACGGCUAACUACGUG